UUAAGUUCAGCGGGUAGUCCUACCUGAUUUGAGGUCAGAUAUGUCAAAGUGCAUGCAUUCAUGCGGUUAGAAGCCCGGACAUAGCCCCUCGCCGAUCAGUGAAUGAUAGUUUAUCACACUUCUCGGAGCGAGAGCGCCCGACUAAUGCAUUCAAGGGAAGCCGACUUUCGCCAGCAGAUCCCCAAUUCCAAGCCACGGGA
rnacentral:misc_RNA from 1 species